GUGCUCGAUCUGGCAGCACAUAUACUAAAAUUGGAUGACACAAAGGAGAUUAGCAUGGCCCCAGAACAAGGAUGACACGCAAAUUUGUGAAGUGUUCCAUGUUUUU
ensembl:snRNA U6 U6 spliceosomal RNA